UGGUCAUGUCUUCAAAACCGUUAUCAAUGAAGGCACUCGGCUAUGCUAAGGGUAAGUACCUUAGGCGCAAGUCGCCGAUGGCAUAGUGUGAGGAGGGGUUUAAUGCCUG
rfam:Bacillus lehensis G1, complete genome.